rnacentral:tRNA from 1 species
GCGGGUGUAGUUCAAUGGUAGAAUUCUAGCCUUCCAAGCUAAUGAUGAGGGUUCGAUUCCCUCUACCCGCUCCA